rnacentral:misc_RNA from 1 species
UCCGGUUUGUCACCGGCAGUCUCAUUAGAGUGCCCAACUGAAUGUAGCAACUAAUGACAAGGGUUGCGCUCGUUGCGGGACUUAACCCAACAUCUCACGACACAAGCUGACGACAGCCAUGCACCACCUGUGUACGACCCCGAAGGACACCGUAUCUCUACGGCUUUUCCGUACAUGUCAAGCCCAGGUAAGGUUCUUCGCGUUGCAUCGAAUUAAGCAACACGCUCCGCUGCUUGUGCGGGCCCCCGUCAAUUCCUUUGAGUUUCAGCCUUGCGACUGUACUCCCCAGGCGGUAUACUUAACGCGUUAGCUUCGUUACUGAGAGUGUCAAACCCCCAACAACCAGUCGACAUCGUUUAGGGCGUGGACUAC